GAUGAAUGUCGGAGUUCCCAGUGUGACCAGCAGUGUAUCAACACUGAGGGCGGUAUGCGAUGCGAAUGUGGACCAGGCUUUACACUGUCACCAGAUGGCCAAGGAUGUAAAGAUAUUGAUGAGUGCGCCCGCAGGGACUGGAAGCCUUGCCACCACACCUGCGUCAACUCCAGAGGGAGCUUCAGAUGCUCCUGCCAGCCGGGCUACUACCUGCACCAAAAUGGAAGAUCCUGCCUAGAUGUGAAUGAGUGCAACCAGGGUGGGGGCCAGGUGUGUCACCAUAUCUGUCAAAACACCCAGGGGAGUUACCGCUGCUCCUGCCGUCCCGGGUUCGAACUCCAACCGGAUGGAACAACCUGCAGAGAUAUUGAUGAGUGCACUCAGGAAUCCAACGGUUGCUCAGGUAGCUGUAUCAACACCAUUGGAUCAUACCAGUGUAGCUGCACACAGGGUUAUACCAGCAGAGGAGGCAGAUGUGUGGAUGUGGAUGAGUGUCAAAUGAGCAACGGUAGAUGCGAACAGCUCUGCGUCAACACUCAAGGCAGUUUCCUGUGCUCCUGUCGUCAGGGUUACACGCUCAACAGCGAUGCACGGACGUGCACAGAUGUGGAUGAGUGUGAGCAGUACGCCGGCCGGGUCUGUGAGCACGGCUGUGAGAACGUGGACGGCACGUACCAGUGUAGAUGCCCACCAGGAUUCAGGCUGCAUGCCAACAGGCAGAACUGCGUGGAUAUCAAUGAGUGUAUGGAGCAGCAUGGGCUGUGCCACUACCGCUGCGUUAACACCAGAGGUUCCUACAACUGCAUCUGUCCUCCAGCCUUCCAGCUGGCUGCCGAUGGAAGAAUGUGUGACGACAUGGAUGAGUGUGCAGUCAGUAAUCACGGUUGCCAGGGUGGAUGCGCAAACACCAUGGGCAGCUAUCACUGCACAUGUGCAGAAGGCCAGCUGGGAUCAGGCGAUCUGUACUGCGGCAAACAGCCUAGCGGAUGCAACAGUGAUACGUGUUCCCACAAAUGUGUCGACACAGGAACCGGCCACAACUGUAUGUGCUCCAGAGGAUACCAGUUACACAGUGGUGGUCGCCAUUGUGAAGAUAAAAACGAGUGUAUGGAGGUUGGCCGUGGUGGCUGCCAGCAUCAAUGUGUUAAUUCCAUGGGCAGCUACUACUGCUCCUGCUACGCAGGCUACCGACUCCACUAUGACCGCAAACGCUGUGUGGCCAACACAGGCUGCAAUACAUGCAUGACUUGCCCUGCUGGAUUCCACAUGAAUACACAGACAGGACGGUGUGAAGAUAUUGACGAGUGUUCAUCACCCGCCAACAACUGUGGAGCUACACGCUGUGCAUCAAAUAGAGCAGUGUGCUCGCACAACUGCAUCAAUACGGUAGGCAGCUACUCAUGCACAUGCAAUCCUGGAUAUCUCAUACAGCCCGACGGAUACACGUGCACAAAAGAUGGACCUGUGUGUUCCCCACCAUGUAACAAUGGCGGUACCUGUCAGUAUUCCAGACAGUGCAGCGGCAACACGUACAACUGCCGCUUCAGUGAGUGUGCCUGCCGAGCAGGAUUCACGGGACCACGCUGCGAAAACGUUUUACCCAGUUCCUGUCAGCCUGCAUGUCUCAACGGUGGCCAGUGCGUGGAUGGACAAUGUCAGUGCACUGCAGGAUUCACUGGGACAUCCUGUUCAUCAGAUAAGAAUGAAUGUUUGAACCACGAGUGCGAGCACCAUUGCCAAAACACAUUCGGUAGUUUCCAGUGUCUAUGCAGAGGUGGCUACACAAUCAACGCAGAUGGGGAAACAUGCAGUGAGAUUGGCUGUUUCCCGCCAUGUAUGAACGGAGCCUCCUGUGCCAACAAAGUCUGCGUCUGCCCUGACGGCUUCAGUGGACCAAACUGCCAGACAGACAUCAAUGAAUGCGCAGUCAGCAAUGGCGGCUGUGAGUACAUAUGCAGGAACACCUAUGGCAGCUAUGUGUGUUUCUGCCCCCGGGGUGCAACACUGAGUCCUGACAUUCACUCUUGUUCAGGAGUGACCUGUAACCCACCCUGUAAUAACAACGGCACCUGUGUCAACAGAAUGUGCCGGUGCCCAUCUGGUUUCACUGGUCCCACCUGUCUGCAAGAUAUCAAUGAGUGUGUUUCCAACAACCCCUGUGCCUACCAAUGCCUGAACACAUACGGCGGGUACGAGUGCGUUUGCCCUGAUGGAACACGCCUGGGUGUUGAUAAAAGAUCAUGUGAAGGUGUGUUUGAGUGUAGUCCAGUAUGUCAGAAUGGAGGCACGUGUCGCGCAGGCUCAUGCAUCUGUCCGGAGGGCUUCACCGGAGAAACAUGUGUCAUUGAUAUUGACGAAUGUGAGGAUGCGGCCCGCUGCGGAUUCCAGUGCAACAAUUACUAUGGCGGUUACGAAUGUCUGUGCCCGCCGGGAUUCAUGCUAGCAGAAGAUGGUAGAAAGUGUGUGGAUGAGAAUGAGUGUCCCAAAGUCUUCUGUGAGUAUCAGUGCGAGAACACACCAGGCAGCUACCGAUGCGUCUGCCCUGAGGGACAACGCCUUGCUCCUAACGGCAGAACAUGUCUGGACCUUCCCUGCAUUCCUGCCUGUCGUUUUGGCGUCUGCGAGGCCGGUGUGUGCCAGUGCUCCAUCGGUUACACCGGUGCUGACUGUAGUAUCCCAACGCGAUGCGAGCAACCCUGCGCCAAUGGUGGAACGUGCAGUCGCGGGGUGUGCCAGUGCGCGGAUGGGUUCAGCGGCGAGUUCUGCCAAACCAAAGUGUGUCGCCCAGCCUGCUUGAAUCUGGGCAUGUGUGUGGAGGGAAUCUGCGUCUGUCCUGAUACCCACACUGGAGACUUCUGCCAAUUCAAAGCCUGUAAGCGGGAAUGUCUUAAUGGCGGCAUAUGCAACUUUGACGGUAUUUGCAACUGUGAGGAGGGUUUUGUUGGAGAAUUCUGUGGAAUUAAAGUGUGUCAGCCAGCGUGUGUCCAUGGUGUAUGCAUCAAUGGCGUCUGUCAGUGCAAUGGCGGAUACACGGGAGAUGAUUGCAACGUGAAAGAGUGCCCCGUUGCCUGUCAGAAUGGAGGAACCUGCUGGAACGGAACCUGUGUGUGUCCGUCUGGAUUCACUGGGCUCUUCUGCGAAAGACUAGAUUGUGAACAGCCUUGUUUGAAUGGUGGUGUCUGCAACUUUGGAAGAUGCAACUGCCCGCCACAGUUCCAAGGAGCGUACUGUCAAAACGAAGUUUGCCGGCCACCCUGCCGAAACGGAGGUGUGUGUGACAAUGGUGUCUGUGUCUGCCCAGCAGGCUUCGAAGGAGUCCAGUGUCAGACCAGAGUGUGCAUUCAACCAUGUCAGAAUGGCGGAGUAUGUGUGAAUGGUAUAUGCCAAUGCUUGUAUGGAUUCAUCGGUCCCUACUGUGAAAUCAGCUUUGGCAGUUGUGAUGACCUUCAGUGUCAGAACGGUGGUCAUUGCCUUGGGGGUCGAUGUGAGUGCGCACCGGGCUUCAAUGGACCGACUUGCACUGUUAAGAUACCAACAAAUGGAUGCCUACCACAGUGCCUCUAUGGAGGGCUAUGCAUAGAUUCUGUCUGUAACUGCACUGCAGGAUACUAUGGAGAUUUCUGCCAAUACAACUAUGCCUCCCCGCUUAUCCGGCCGAUCCGCAUCUACCAAACUGGUGGCAACAACGUGGAGGGCACCACUGUGUACUAUGUCUGCGAGACCAACUCAACCCUUGUGGAGGGAACCCCGCUGUGGUACUACUCACGGAGGAUAGGCGGCCAGGUGGAAUUUGUGGAAAAUGCACAAGGCCGGUUUUCUCAGCAGGUUAUCAGCCCCAACACCACACUAUUCAUCGGCCGUGAUCUCCGAGUUUUUGACACCGACCAAUUCCGCUGUUCCGUCACCGGUGGGCCAACCAUCACACUAUCGCUCUUGGUUUACGCCUCUGAAUGUGCACCAGGUUGCAUCAACGGUGGGGUCUGUCAUGGCAACAUGUGCAUGUGCCCUGUUGGGUAUACGGGAGACUACUGUGAGACCAAACUAAGCUAUUGCCCAGUCAGGUGUCUGAACGGCGGUUACUGUGACAACGGCAACUGUGUGUGUCAGGACGGAUUCCAAGGAAGCUUCUGUCAGAUAGCAGUUGGUGAUGAGUUUGUCAUACGUCUCAGCAUCCCCUCCACCCAGCGUCCCACACUAGGCACCACCAUCUCAAUCAUCUGCGAGGUCUUUGAGUCACCCACUGCUGCCGAGGCCAUUAGGGGAACACCCCUGCUUGCACAAUGGGAGGUUCCGGAGCCAGUCAGCCCGCGGCUCUUGCCUGGUGUCCCAGUGGAUGGCAUCUUCAGUCCAGCUGUUGGCGAUGAUGUCCGGGUGAGACAGCUCUCGCCGUCAGCUUCCCUGCUCACCAUUACAAACUUCCAACCGGCUUAUUCCGGCACCUACAACUGCUCAACUGGCACACGCACCGUCACCUACUAUCUCAGUGUUGAGUGUCUACCACCUUGCAUGAACGGAGGCGCGUGUGUGAACGGCCAGUGUCAAUGUUACCCAGGUUUCACCGGUGAUCGCUGCGAAAUGUCACCCCCAGAAAUGAACAAUAAGGACUGUCGCUAUGCCUGUGCCAACAACGGCACCUGUGCUGAUGGGAUCUGCCUGUGUCUGAACGGCUUCAAAGGCGACAGGUGUGAAAUCGACUUCCGAGCGUUAACCAACGACCCCUGUGGCUGUUUGAAUGGAGGAACCUGUGAGCAAGGGGAAUGCCGCUGUCCGAUUGGCUUUUCAGGAGCUCAGUGCCAAACUGAAGAUGGAAUCUGCGAUCCGCCUUGCCAGAAUGGUGGAAGCUGCCUAGAUGGAAUCUGUCACUGUGACCUGGGAUAUGUUGGCUUCUACUGUGACAUUAGAGCUUGUUUCCCAUCCUGUGUUCACGGUGACUGUAGUGAGGGAGUGUGUCUGUGCGACACUGGCUACACUGGAGAACAGUGCAAUUUACUUGAAUGUACCGUGGAAUGCCUGAAUGGCGGUGUGUGCUACAAUGGAACCUGUUCCUGCUUACCAGGCUUCACAGGAGAACAGUGCCAAGACAUAGACUGUUUAUUUCCGUGUUUGAACGGGGCCUGUGUGGAAGGCUUGUGCCAGUGUGAUCUGGGAUUCGCCGGUGAUCAGUGCGAUGAACUGGCUUGCAUUCUGCCUUGCAUCAGUGGAGUAUGCAUAGAAGGGGAGUGCAUAUGCACACCAGGCUACGGGGGUGAACAGUGUGACAUACGCAGUUGCCAACCUGAAUGUGUGAAUGGUGGACAGUGCAAAGAGGGAGUUUGCGUUUGCCCGCAAGGCUAUGAUGGGCCAAGCUGUGAGACUCAAGUGCCUUACAUUGAGAUCAUUCCCGAGCAGUCCUUCGUGCGCUACGGCAUGCAGUUGUCAUGGCGUUGCAUCUACCAUCUGGGUUCGCUGUCUCCGUUCUGGAGGGAUCCUGGCCAGCGGUUUGUUCAACUUUCCCAAAAUGCAAAUCGCGGGGAUCUUGGCCAGAGUAACGUCUUUGCUGAGCGCAUCUCCCGCCUGGAGACCAGAAUGGUCAUCAUUGACUUCCAAGCUAAUGAUGCAGGCACCUACUCCUGUGGGACAUACGAUGAGCAGGAGACAAUACUGAUUGUGGUGACCAGCACAACACCAGCUACCCCUACCACUCCCAGUGUCACCAUCACCAUCCCACCCACCCAGCCCAGUAACUGUGUCCCCUUCAACAGUUCCUUCUGUCAAGGCCUGCCCUACCAGCAAGCGAUCUUCCCUACGGCCUUCGCCCAGAACUCGGAAGCAGCCGACCUGUUGGCGUCGGCCAUGUUCUCACGCCUCACCGACUGUGGGGAUUCGCCAAAGGUGGUACUGUGCUACCUCUUCUUCCAACCCUGCGACAGCGGCACAGACCCCCUAGACAGACUCUGCCAAGAAACCUGCCUCGAUGUCCAACACAACUGCCUGGCCUACAUGCAGGAGGUUCUGCGGUUCUUCCAGGCUGGGCUGGCGCAGCAGUUCCUCGGAGUCUGCGGGACGCUGCCGUCUGAAGAGACUCACCCUAGCUGCAUCAAGAACUUGAAGAAACAGCCACCAACAAUAUCAAAAUGCGAAGGCAUGUGUGAGAAUGGAGGAACCUGCAUCAAUGAUAAGUGCAUCUGCAAGCCGGACUUCACUGGAGACAUGUGUGAAUACCCAGUUGACACCUUGUUCGAGUACGAUGUGGUCAUCACGCCCAUUCCCCCUGGCUACCCAGAAGUUGACACCAACUUGACCGUCGUCUGUGAGAUCAUCAAUAAUAACGUCUUGGUCUUCCCGGUAUGGUUCGGUCCCGACAACCAAAACAUCCCAUCUAAACAACCAGGUGACAACCAGCGUGUAUACAUGGACCUGCAUUCCCCGACAGCCUCCAAACUCAUCAUAGUGGGUGUCCAGCCUUCGGACCAGGGCACGUAUCGGUGCAUUGUGGGCCAGCAAUCUGUACCACACACUGUGAUUCUGAAAUUUCCAGACUGCUACAGCCUGCCUUGCUUGAAUGGUGGGGUCUGUGUGCAAGGAAAAUGCCAGUGCCCUGCAGGCUUCACUGGACUCAACUGCGAAAAUAGUGACGUGAGGUACAUCAUCAGCAUCACCCCACAGACCAUCGACUUCCCCGUGACCGGCUCCAACUUGACCUUCCUGUGUGAGGUCAGCGGUCUGUAUCCUAGCAAGCCAGUCUGGUUGAGUCCAUACGCUAGAAACAUUGGCGCUUCUACUGAAGGUGGUAAUAACCGUGUCUUUGUUGAGGAGAUGUCACCCACGGAAACUGCGCUAAAUAUCAUCAACAUCCAACCUCAGGACUCGGGAGUGUAUGUCUGCGUAGUGGAGAAGCAGUACAGCUACAUCAACAUCACUGUACGAUUUCCUGAACUUGAGUGUCGGCUUCCAUGUCUCAAUGGUGGAUACUGUGUCUUUGGGGAGUGCCAGUGCCCACCAGACUAUGAAGGCCCCCGCUGCCAAUCACUUGUGCCACCAUCAUUCAGUCUGAUCAUCACGCCAGCCCCGAACCAGACUCCAGUCUUGGGAGGCAUGCUGGCCUUCCUAUGUGAGAUGACACGAGCCAGUAACACCAGCUUCCCCUUCUGGAUCACGCCGGACGGACAGAUUGUUUCUUCAGAAAACGCAGAGAAUGCAGAUGGGGUGCACGUUGUGUUUCUCGGAACAACAGCCAUCCGGUUGGUCAUCAACAAUCUGAAGGAGCGCGACGAAGGAAUCUACACAUGCAUAGCUGGACCUGUCGAGGCUCACAUCAACAUCACUGUGUUUGAGCCACAGUGUGAGCGACCUUGUUUGUUUGGCAGUGCUUGUGUCAAUGGCACCUGUCUCUGCCCGUAUGGAUUGGAGGGAGAAUACUGCCAGAUCCAAGUGCCAGGGACAGAGUGCAACCUACCCUGUGCCAACAACGGCCUCUGUGUCAACAACCAAUGCUUCUGCCAAGAUGGCUACCUGGGUGAACUCUGCCAGAUAUUUGUCGGGGGCACGUUUAACAUCACUGUGGUGACUAUCGAUGACUUGGUGCCAAUCUCCAAUGGCGAUGUGCAAAUUGUGUGCGCGGUGGAGGGAGAUGGGGUCUUCCCCCCACCGAUGUGGAUCAAUCCAAGGGGCUUCACCAUUGCAUCCAUCGGGGAAGGUGGUUCCCAACACGUCAAUGUAGAGACGCCACUCCCUGGAACAACAUUGCUGAACAUUAAUGACAUCACCACAGAUGAUGAAGGAACAUACACCUGUGUUGUGGGAUCACACAUCAACACAUACAUCUUCAGGAUCACAGUUUCUGAUGAGUGCGAUUUCCCAUGUGCCAAUGGGGGCCAAUGCGUUGAAGGUCUCUGCCUCUGCCCAGUUGGUUACCUGGGCAGAUUCUGUGAGGUCUACAUACCAGAACCAGAGUGCAAUUUGCCUUGCCAAAAUGGAGGCCAGUGUCGCAAUGGAAUAUGUCGGUGUCCUAUCGGCUACACAGAACCUUCCUGCAAUGUGAAAGUUGGUAACGGCUACUUCCUGUACAUUGUCUCCAACCUCCAACGUCCACCACUGACCGGUGAGGAGCUGAGAGUGACCUGUGCAUUCAUCGGUGGCCAGCGGACCUCCCGACCCUGGUGGUCCGGCCCCAGCGACUUCCGCAUCCCAACGAACGAAGGCGGUCUUCAGCGUGUAUUCAUACAGAACUUGAACGCCACCGCAACACAGCUCAUCUUCAAAGGCGUACGGCCUGCGGACUUGGGCACAUACACCUGCAAUGUUGGAGUCGUCACCAACACAUUCACUGUGACAGUCGUCGAGCCCGAGUGCAACCCAGUGUGUCAGAAUGGAGGGGCCUGCAGUCCAGAUGGGUGUCAGUGUACUGAAGACUACACUGGAGUCUUCUGUCAAACACCAGUGUUGUUCAAGUGUAAUGGACCGUGCUUAAACAACGGCGUAUGUGUGACUGGAGUCUGCCUGUGUGUGGACGGUUUCACUGGAGCCAACUGUGAAACACCAAUUGUGGUUGGGUGCGAGCAACCCUGCGCUAACGGCGGCCUGUGCGUGGACACCAAAUGUCUGUGUCAGCCAGGAUUUACUGGAGAAUUCUGCCAAGAAACAGUUCUAGCCUCAGAUUGCAUCCCUGUCUGUGAAAAUGGAGGUAACUGCUCCGAUGGGAUCUGUGUGUGUGCGGACAAGUACACUGGGGAAACCUGCAACACCAGGGUUGAUGAGGAUUUCAUUAUAACAGUCAUCCCGGUCACCCCUAAACCGCCCUCUAUUGGUGACAACAUUCGUGUCAGUUGUGAAUUCAUUGGAGACUCCAACACUCCCCGGCCGUAUUGGACUAAACCAGAUGGACAGCAGAUAGAGUACAUCUUGCCAGAGCUCAUUGGAACUAGACACGUGGGCAGUAUUGCUAACUCAAGCAGCUCCACCAGCCUCUUCAUCAACGACGUCCGUACCACAGACGAAGGCACUUACACAUGCUUUGUGGGACCAUUCACCAACACAUACACCAUCUUGUUUUACGAUUUCAACUGUGACCCACUCUGCCGCAAUGGAGGAUUCUGCACCCUGGGGACGUGCCAGUGCCCAGAAGGAUACAGAGGUGUAGCCUGUGAAAUUCAACUUGAUAGGAACGAGUGCCGUCCACGUUGCGAGAACCAAGGUGUCUGUAGAAACAGGAUUUGUGAGUGUGGACCUCAGUUUGUCGGCCCCUACUGUGAAACGACAGUUGGUAAUGGGUUCUUCAUAACGAUCAACGAGAAGCCCUAUGAGCAGCUGAGGACGGGGCAAGAUGUCACUGUCACCUGUGAGUUUGUAGGAGCAGGUGAAAAUGCCGCUCAACCAGCUUGGAGAGACCCUAACGGAAUACUCAUCAGACCAUCCAGAGCCGCUGUAAGCGACGACCGUUUCCGUACAAGAGAAAUCUCACCGUUAGUCACUGAGCUGACCAUCAGUAAUAUUCAGCCGACUGAUUCGGGCAUUUAUACCUGCCAUGUAGGAUCCAGUAUCAACACUUUGACAAUCGAUAUAGGAGACGGUUGUGCCCAGCCUUGUAUGAACGGAGGAACCUGCAGCGCUGGAGCUUGUAUCUGUCCUGAUGGUUUCAGUGGUGAACGAUGUGAUACACCAGUGGUUGAGUGUGUCAUCCCAUGUGAGAACAGUGGCCAGUGUGUGGAUGGGGUCUGUGUCUGCUCGGAAGGUUACAUUGGGAAUCUGUGUGAAGUAUCAGUUGGAGAUGGAUUCACCAUUCACAUCAUCAAGGAUACCUUGGGACCACACCAGACCGGCCAAGACGUGAGUGUGACUUGUGAAUACACCAGCGAUUCCAACCAGGUGUUUCAGCCGCAGUGGAUUGACCAGAACGGACGCAGUAUCAACCCCAACACACUAGGACGGUUAACGACAGAUAUUGUCUCACCGACGUCCACUCAACUGACCAUAUCCAACAUCCAGCAGAUUGAUUCAGGCAUAUACACAUGCGUCGUCGGAACGCGGGUCAACACCUAUACGCUCACCAUACACGAUGUUGAAGUGCAGUGCCCCUUGGAUUGCUUGAAUGGAGGGGUGUGCGUGCAAGGAACCUGCGAGUGCCUGGAACAGUACGGUGGUGCUUACUGCGAAUUCGAAUUGACACAGUGCGAUUUCCCCUGCGCCAAUGGUGGUGUCUGCAUUGAAGGGGUGUGUUCCUGUGUUGGUGGCUACGAAGGCGAUUUCUGCCAGACAUACGUGAUACCAGAAACCGAUAUCAUCAUCACCAUCACACCACAGAAGGACAUCCUGCCAGCCAUUGGCCACAACUUCUACUUAGUAUGCGAGAUUGCCAACAGCAACGCCUACCCUCAACCAAUCUGGAUCACGCCCACUGGAGAGCGGGUACCCGUUGAAGCGGAAGGAGGACCCUCGCCAUCCCAUCACAUGGCGACUGAGUCCAUCUCUCCUACAGCCACCAAGUUGAUCCUGAAUGGCCUCAUGAGGGAAGACUCAGGCCUUUACACCUGCCUGAUUGGCCCAUACAGGGACUCCAUACCCCUCAUCAUAUACAAGCUUCCCUGUUCGCCAGUUUGCCAAAACGGUGGAACCUGUGACGACGGGGUGUGCCUGUGUCCAACUGGCUUCACUGGCAACCACUGCCAGGACAGAGAGCAGCAACGGCUGACCAUUCGUGUAACGCCCAACAUGCAAGAGCUUCCCAACGUAGGCGACCACUUGCGCGUCACCUGCGAGAUAAUAGGCACGGACCAGUUCGACCCACCACAGUGGCAGACACCGGAUGGCACUGUCAUCCCUGAAUUUGUCAUAGCUUCGGAUCAGCGUGUCGGCGUACAGUACCUGACUCAAACAGCCACCAAUCUAGUCAUCAACAGUAUCCGGUCCACAGACACCGGCCUGUACACCUGCAGCAUCGGGCCUUUACAAGGGUUCUUCAACGUAGGGGUGGAGCAGCCGCCAACCUGCGAGGUGGUCUGCGAGAACAUGGGCCUGUGCUUGGGCCGGGAGUGCGAGUGCCCCCAGGAGUUCGCUGGCCCUCGUUGUGAGAUCAGAAUUGGAGCAGACUACACCAUCACCAUCACUCCACCCAGCAACCCAAUCCUUGUGACUGGCGCCCAUGAAAUCACUUACCUGUGUGAGAUAGAAAGCCUGCGUCGCCUAGCCCGGCCAGAAUGGGCCGCGCCGUCCGGAACACUGAUUGCACCAAUAGAGCAGGUUGGCAGCAUCGGCCGACUUGGGGUUGAGUACAUCGACAGUCGCUCAACUCGCCUCAUCAUCCGAGACCUGAUGCUGGAAGAUAGUGGAAUGUACACCUGCUAUAUCGGGCCUCUCACCAACUCCGUCAUCAUCACUGUCCAAAUGCCCUCCUGCCAGUUACCAUGCCAGAACGGCGGUCAUUGCACUAAUGGUGUGUGCGAGUGUCCGCGAACCUUUACUGGUCCCCAGUGCCUGACACCAGUGGUCACCUGCUUGCAGCCUUGCGUCAAUGACGGAGUCUGCCUGAAUGGGGCCUGCCGGUGUCCCACGGGAUUCCUAGGUUCAAGAUGCGAGACACCAGGUUUCAGCAUGAAGCUCCACCCAGUUGGGGAGGUGAUUCCAGAGAUAGGGCGGACCAUCAGUUUCCUGUGUCAGAUCACGGGUGAGAUACCAGACAUCCGACCAAGAUGGCGUAGAGAGAACACAGAAAUACUGCCUCUGUCAGAAGGUGGUACAGCUCAUGUGUUCACCUCAUAUGUCAGUCCCUCAGCAACCCAACUUACCAUCCAGGGCAUAGAAUCAACAGAUGCGGGCUCCUAUAUCUGCGAUGUUGGCCCGGUCAUCGCUACCUUCAAAAUACAAGUCCAGGAGUUGCCGUGUCGAGAGGAAUGCCAGAAUGGGGGCACGUGCAUCAGUGGCGUGUGCCGGUGUCCAGAGGGCUACUCAGGCACUGCUUGCCAAGUUGAAGGUCCUCAGAACAUAAGGAUUCAGAUCAUUCCCAUCCGUCCCGGAGUACCCAGAAUCGGAGAGGACAUUGCUUUCACUUGUAUCAUCCUCGGCCCAACUCCGUUUUUGAACCCAACUUGGAAGGCUCCAGGAGGACAACCCAUAGCCCGAAGGAAUGCUCUUGGUGUAGAUGGCACAACUGCCCGUUUAUCAGAAGAAGCGUUGACUUCGACUGCCACCACUUUGUUCAUCAACAGCGUGUCUUACGAUGACGCCGGCAUCUACGUGUGCAUGGUGGGGCCGGUCAUGGCAAACUUCUCGCUGGAAAUUAGUGGCCCCGAGUGUCGACCAAGCUGCCAGAAUGGAGGCACCUGCAUGGACGGAAUAUGCGCCUGCUUUCCGGAAUUUACCGGCCACUACUGCCAAACACCAGCUCUGUGUCAAAGGUCAUGUAUGUAUGGAGCCCUGUGCAUUAACGGAGAGUGCAUGUGCCCUCCGGGGUACCAGGGAAAAUUCUGCCAAAUAGCAGUGCCUGAAAAACUGAUGGUCAACAUACGGCAGAUUGGCAACGACCUACCUCGCCCAGGAGGCAACUUGCAGUUUGAGUGCAUCAGCACUGGCAGUAGCAACCCAAGGAAUGCACCCAUUUGGAGGAACCCUGCUGGACAGAGGGUUGACCCACUAGCACAAGGUGGAUCUCAGCAUAUGUUUGUCCGCCAGACAUCACCUUCAACCACUGUUCUUGUCAUCAAUAACGUGGCGGUAACUGAUGCUGGCAAAUACGAGUGUGUAGUGGGCAACGUGGUUGCGUCUCUUGUCAUCCGAAUCAGUGGGCCUGUACCACCUGAUGGUGGUUGCUCCCCCUCCUGUCAGAAUGGAGGAACCUGUUUCGGAGGUCAGUGCCUGUGUCCUGUGGGUUACAUCGGAGCGUACUGCCAUAUAACAGUGCCAACGCCCAGCUUUGACAUCCAGAUCCUCCUAGACCCAGACCAGCCCCAGCAGCUAGUCAUAGGAGAUGACCUCCAGUUGACCUGUCAGAUUCCCGACGAUAGCCCCUACACCAACCCCCAGUGGUACACCCCGGAAAGUGAACGGGUCUUUGCAAUUGGUCAAGGUGGCUCAGACAAGUUGCAUGUUGAUCAACGGACCGUGCACCAGACUAUUCUCACCAUCAUGAACGUCCAGGCUAGUGAUAGCGGCACCUACAUAUGCUCCGUUGGCCCCCACAGGGCAUCAUUCUUUGUCGACAUCAGCACCUUUGAUAUUCGUGUCCAGCCCCCACCGACACAAAACCAACGGAUCGGCCACAACAUCACAUUUGUCUGUGAAGUGUCAGAGAGAGCCGGCUACAGGAACCCAUCGUGGCUUGGCCCCAGCGGCCAACAGAUAUACCCUGAUGGUCAAGGUUUUGCCAGUCGUGUCUAUGUCCGGGAGCUCUCCUAUCUCGCUUCCGAGCUCGUUAUCCAGGACCUGCGUCUCAGCGACGAAGGCAUCUAUACCUGUGCCGUGGGCCCCCUCAGCACCACCCAAGAAGUCUUCAUCGAAGUGGGUUGUAGCCAGCCUUGCUUCAAUGGUGGAAGAUGUGUAAACAGUGCCUGCGAAUGUCCUAAUAGUUAUCAAGGAGCACAGUGUGAAAUACCAAUUGGCUUUGACAUGCGAAUCGUGAUCCCGGAAAACCUUACACCAAUGGUGGGUGAUGAUCUGAGCUUCACUUGUGAGGUGGGGUACCAAAGCCGCUUCCGCAAUCCGCUGUGGACUGGCACUAGAGGCCAGCCAGUCCUUCCUGUUGGACAAGGAGGAACAGAUCAUCUCAGAGUGAUCAUCAUCAAUGAGUAUAGCACCCGACUGGUCAUCUCAGGACUUGGCACCUCAGACUCUGGCACCUAUGUCUGCACAGCUGGACCCCUCUACAGGGACUUAACAAUCCAAAUCCAAGGUCGUCCAUGUGACCCUCCAUGUUCCAACGGUGGCACCUGCCUAGAUGGUGUGUGCCAGUGCCCAGAGAGCUACGUAGGAACUUACUGUGAAACCUUUGUUCCACCAUUCAACAUCCGGAUUCUACCCCUUGAGAACCAAUCACCAGUUAUCGGCGACAACCUUACCAUAGACUGCAUGGUGCAUCCCUUGGGGCUGUACAGAAAUCCAAUAUGGCACGGACCGGACGGCAGACAAAUCAACACAAUGGCACAAGGUGGUACUAUGCGACUGCACACUGAACAGACCAGCCCCUUCAGCACCAGACUAGUGAUAGAAAUGCUGAGUGAAGUAGACAGAGGCAACUACGAAUGCCAAGCUGGGCCCUUCUCUGCCCCAGUGGUGAUUGACAUUCCAGUUCAAGAUUGCAUUCCAUCAUGCAUUAACGGUGGUCAGUGUGUGAACGGCAGGUGCAGCUGCCCCACUGGCUGGACUGGUAGCAGAUGUCAGACACCAGAUGUGACUUUCCCAAUUCGCAUCGUCCCACCGGAUGAGAAACCUCAGAUAGGAGGCGACUUCAGCGUGUUAUGUGAGGUUCCGCGCAGCAGCCAGUACACCAUGCCCAUAUGGCUGGAUGCUAACAGACAGAUGGUACCCAAGGACACGCAAGGUCACCUUUACGCAGUCGCUGAGUCUGAUCACCUGACUAGGCUGUAUUUCAAUGGUGUCCAGCGCUCAGACAGAGGAACUUACACAUGUGUCACUGGUCCCCUGUCUGCGGACUUCACCAUCAGCAUACCAGGUGGCGACGAUGGUUGCACCCCACCCUGCCUUAAUGGUGGAAGUUGCAUAAAUCAACAAUGUCAGUGCCCAGAGGAUUAUACCGGAGACCAAUGUCAGACCAAAGAGGACAUACUGGUGAUUAUUCCACAAACUGUCACCCCUCGCAUCGGCCAGGAUGUCAGCUUUCUCUGCGAGAUCCCGCCUGACAGACCAUUUAGGAAUCCUACAUGGCUCAGUCCAGAUAACAUCAUCAUUGAUUCCUACAUGCCUGGUCGCAAUGAGCACAUGUUUGUUGCUGUGGAGUCCCCCUUAGCAACUAGGCUCUACAUCCGGGGUCUGGCGCCAGGUGAUUCGGGAGAGUAUACCUGCAGCGCCGGCCCACACUCUUCAAAGUUCAACAUUGUUGUCACCGUUCCAGAAUGUGAGAAGGAUUGCUUGAAUGGUGCUCAGUGCGUCCUCGGUCAGUGCCAAUGCUUAGAUGGUUACAGAGGUGAACAAUGCGAGAUCAAUAUUCCUGACUACAGAAUUCGCAUCCUCGGACCGGACGUCCUCUAUCCCGUCGUGGGUCAGAACUUAGAGUUUCUGUGCGAGGUUCCCCCGACCAGCGAGUUCCAAAUGCCAAUUUGGCUUGACGAGAAUGGACAAAUGGUACCCAAGGGAACAGAAGGUCAUCUGUACACAGUGGCUGAAAAUGACUACUCCACGAGGCUCGUCUUCAACAGUCUACUCUUAGAAGACUCAGGCGGUUACCUCUGUGUGACUGGUACUCUGUCAUCAAGAAUGGAUCUGCAAGUCACUGGUCUGGACCGCUGGAUUGUCGUUUCUCCGGACAACGCUCCAACUGUACCAAGCAUUGGUGACAACCUGAAGAUCAUAUGCGAGGUUGCACAGGAUAGUCCCUACACCAACCCCAAAUGGCUAGGACCAGACAACGAGGAAGUUCCACCAGUAGGAGCAAUUGGCGUCGGUCGUAUCGGAGUUCAGGACGUCACCGCUACAUCGUCCACGCUGAGCAUCAACAACUUGCAGGCAGUGGAUGCCGGUACCUACUCCUGUGUAACUGGUCCCCUGCGGUACAUCUACAGAGUGUCACCAACGUUGGAUUGUGGUGAGAGCCCAUGCCUGAAUGACGCCAGCUGCACUGAUGGAAAAUGUGUCUGCCAAUUCGGUUUCACCGGCUUCCUCUGCGAAUCAUUAGUGUUGGAGUGCCUUCAGGAUUGUCUGAAUGGUGGCAGUUGCAUGGGAGGCAUCUGUCUGUGCGACAAUGGAUAUAUGGGAGACUUCUGCCAAACACCAGAUCCCAAUGCUUUCAUCAUCCGAGUCACGCAGACCAAUCCCGAGGUUCCCAUUGAGGGCAGCAUUCUUGUCUUGGUGUGUGAGGUUGGGCCUAACAGUCCCUUCCAGAGACCUGUUUGGCAGGAUCCUGAGGGUAGAGAUAUCGGCCCUCGCACUGCUGGCACAAGUCGUGUGUACACCACAAACCCUGAUCUCAAGUCCAGCCACCUCUACAUCACAGGCCUUUCACUGGUGGACGCUGGCACCUACACCUGUGCCGCUGGACCACUGAAGUACACUUACAACGUCAUCGUACAUGGUUCCCACAUGAUCCAAGUACCCAACAUGGACUCUCAGGUCCUAAACAUUGGUGACAAUCUGCAACUCUUGUGCCAAGUCGAUGCAAGCAGCCGAUAUCGCAACCCUCAGUGGAUCAGACCAGAUGGAGUAGAGAUCCCCAUCGCUAGACAAAACACAGGAUCAGACCGAGUAUUUUCCGAGUCAGUCUCUGAACUGGCCACCCAGCUACACAUCAAUGGUAUCAGCACAGAGGACGCGGGAAGCUAUACCUGCCGAGUGGGACCGUUUGAAGCAGAUGUAGUAAUUACAGUCAAAGUUGUUGAGUGCAACCCACCAUGCAUCAAUGGCGGAACAUGUACACUCAGUGGCUGUCGCUGCCCACCUGGCUAUAUCGGGCAACUGUGUGAGGAGAUCGAUCCCAACUACCUUGUAGUAGAUGUGCCCAACAUCAUCCCAGUCUAUGGAGGUGACUUCUCCCUGCUCUGCGUCCUACCGGAAGGCAGUCCCUUCAGCAACCGGCGACCAAUCUGGCUGGAUCCACUGAACCGGCCCAUCCCUCCCAUCGAACAAGGAGGGAGCAUAGUACUAAGCACAGAUCAGGUGACGCCUCAGAGCACACGCCUCAUCUUCAGGAAUCUACAGAUGUCCUCAUCAGGGACCUACACGUGCAUGGCGGGCCCUAUCAGAUACAGAUACGACUUGGUGGUUGAACUGCCAUCCUGUUUCCCGGAGUGUAAGAAUGGAGGGACUUGCAACAACAGGGUAUGCAUUUGUCCUAUUGGACUCACAGGGGAAGCAUGUGAAGAAAUUGUUGAUGGCUUUGUCGUCGUGCAGAACCCAGACCCUAACCCGCCCAUGGUCGGCGACACCAUCAAGUUUGUCUGUGAGGUGCCAGAAUCUAGCACCUACGGCCAGCCCAUGUGGAUUAACCCCAACGGAAUCCAAAUCAGUCAACUGCAAGGUGAAAAUGACAACAUGGGGACUGAGAUCAUGUCUCCCUUCUCCACCAGCCUGCUCUUCAGAGAAAUCCAUCUGGAAGACGCAGGGACGUACGUCUGCAAAGUUGGACCAAUCAGGCAGGGCUUUAAUGUCACUGUCACAGAUAUACCUUGUGAGCCAGCCUGCCAGAACGGAGGAACAUGCUUCAGUGGCAUCUGCCAGUGUCCAGACAGAUACAUAGGGCCUAGAUGCAACAUACCAGUUGGUGUGUUCCUGACCAUCCGACGCCCACCUAAGCAGGUCUUUGACGUGGGUGAGGACGUCGAACUGACCUGCGAAGUGUCCAAGAACAGCCCCUUUGAAAACCCUCAAUGGCUGGAUCAGUUUGAUGCCAAAAUUGACGAAGGAAUCCUGAAUGAAGUGAUCGGCACUCGCAACAUGGACCAGUUCACCACACAGCUGAUCAUCCACAACAUCCAACUGAAUGACAGAGGGGACUACACGUGCAUGGUGGGACCCAUACGCCAAACAGUGACACUCUUGGUGCAAGGGGAAGAGAGUCGUUGUCCCAUGGCCUGCAUGAAUGGCGGCACCUGUGUGAACCAAGUGUGUCUGUGCCCCGAGGGAUGGUAUGGGACCGAGUGCCAAACACCAGUGGGCGGUUUCAUCCAAAUUGUCCAACCCCCUGGUCAGGUGAUUGGCAUUGGCAUGGAUAUCGCCUUCCUCUGCCAAGUCGUCGACGGCGACCAUUUUGUCAUCAAUCCUGAAUGGCAGUACCGCAGCACCAAAAUACCCGAAGCUAUCCCAGGUGAAACCAAUCGUGUGCUUGUUGAGAAAGUGUCUCCGCUAGUCACACAGCUUAUCAUCCGUGAUCUCACCAUGGAUGACUUGGGCGUCUAUUACUGCUUCGCCAGACCUCUCUCAGCAUCAUUUGAGUUGACUGUUUCAGUGUGUGAUCCCCCAUGUCUGAAUGGAGGAAACUGUGUUAAUGGCCGUUGUGUUUGUCUGCAAGGCAUGACUGGUCCCCUGUGUGAAAUACCAGUUGACGGCUUCAUCACGAUUGAAGUCCCUGAGGACCAAGUACCAGUCAUUGGUGGGCAGGUCGUGUACAUCUGUGAGGUGCCAGACACCAGCUCAUACGGGGCACCAGUGUGGAUCACGGCACAGGGUCGGGCCGUACCGUCAGCAGAACAAGACUCUAGUGUACGCGUCAGCUCCAACCAAGGCACAUCUUUCAGUACAGUGUUGAACAUCAACAACCUUCAAAUUGAAGACCUAGCCAGCUAUACCUGCAUAGUCGGCCCAGUGAGGCACCCACUGGUCAUUGAACUGCCUGCGGAUAUAUGCACACCCCCGUGCCUGAAUGGUGGAACCUGUGUCGAAGGUCAAUGUGAGUGUCCAGCAGGGCUGAAUGGAACCCAGUGUGAACUGAUAGAAACUGGCUAUAUCGUUGUUAGCCCACCCAGAGGCCAGGUUUCCUAUGUAGGUCUUAACAUCACCUUCAUAUGCCUGGUGCCUGACGGCAACAUCUACACAAACCCUGUGUGGCUGAUGCCAACCGGUGAAGAGGUGGCGUUAGAUGCUGGAGGUGGAUUCAGUCGGAUUUAUUCGGACAUUGUGUCUCCAGAAGCAACCAGUCUCAACUUUGUUGAAUUGCAGCUCGGCGAUUCCGGCACCUACGCCUGCAAAGUGGGGCCUGUGGUGUUCCCAUACAGCGUUGUUGCUGUCGUACCAGAAUGUGAACCGCCAUGCCGUUAUGGUGGAACCUGUACAAAUGGAAUCUGCCAGUGUCCGUUCGGUUUCAAGGGGCAAAUCUGUGAAUUCAUUGAUUUCACAAUAGAGAUUGAGCAACCUCCCGAGCAGACUCCCGAGAUUGGGGGCGAGGCAGAGUUCACUUGCAUCAUUGACAGCAGGAGUCCUUACACCAAUCCAGUUUGGUUUGAUCAAGAUGGACAGCAAAUUACUCCUGGUGGGGAAGACUCCUCUGAUGGUUCUCCGCGAAUCUUCAUUGAUCCUGUGGAUGAGUUCUCAACCCGCAUCGUUCUGCGCGACCUGGAGCUCAGUGACGGCGGCACCUACAUGUGCAGCGUAGGGCCCAUCCGGUCCACAUUCACAUUCAUUGUCAGACAGCCCAACUGUGGUUUUGGUUGCUUCCAUGGUGGAAGCUGUCUCGCUGGUGCCUGCCAGUGCCCUGAAGGCUUCACCGGCAACUACUGUGAGGUUCUGGUCCAAGAACCAUUUGUUAUCAAGAUCGACGGUUCCGAUGACCAACCCGAUGUUGGGGACAGCAUCAACUUUGUCUGCAGUGUGCCUGGAGGCAGUAACUAUGGCAACCCAAUCUGGUUGGAUACCACAGGUGAUGUCAUCGUCAAUCAAAACGAAGAUGGUGGCUCCCUCAGACAGUUUGCAGAGCCUUUGUCAUCGAGUGCCACUCGGCUUGUCUUCAACCAAAUACAGACUGCUGAUGCUGGAAACUACAGCUGCAUUGUGGGAUUGAACCGAGCCAUCCUGUACAUCAGCGUCCGAGCUUCUGACUGUCGGACCCCAUGUGCCAAUGGAGGGACAUGUGUGCAGGGAUCAUGUGUCUGCACAAGUGAAUAUGUCGGAGGAUUCUGCCAAAAUAUCAUCAGUGGCGAUUACCAGUUCCGCAUUCGCAUUCAGAAGGGCCAGAAUCCUGUGAUCGGGGACAACAUGCGCAUCCUGUGCGAGAUCCGGGGUUCCAGUACCUACAGGAACCCUCAGUGGAGCGACCCCAACGGCAACAUCAUUUACUCCAAGGAUCUAGGUGGAUCUGAUAGUCUGUACAGUCGGCAGUCAGUUACCAACAGCAAGUUGUAUAUCCAAGAGGUGACUGAAGCAGAAGCCGGGACAUACACCUGCCAAGUAGGCCCACUCACUACAGAGAUUACCAUCAUACCUAGAAGGGAGACUUGUGUUGGUCCGUGUUUGAAUGGAGGAGUCUGCCAGGAUGGGGCGUGUAGGUGUGCCAUAGGAUAUGCUGGAGAGUCCUGCGAUAUACCAGUUGAUCUGUCUGGUGAUGGUCUAACAAUCACAAUCACACCGAGCAUCGACAGAGAACCACGACAGGGAGAAAAUGUGACAUACAGAUGUGCCAUUCAGGAAAACCAGAUUUACAUGGACCCAGUAUGGAGAGAUGGAGCAGGCAACAUAGUCACUACUGCCCUACCAGGUCAGAAUGUGAACACGGAAGCAGUGAACUCCUUUGUCAGUGAGCUGACCAUUCUUGACAUGUCACUAGAGCAGGAGGGCAUCUACAGCUGUUCAGUUGGGCCAAUCACAAGCUUCUACACGGUCACAGUAGCAGCUCCUGGCUGUAUACCUGAUUGCAUCAAUGGUGGUGCUUGCAUUAAUGAGGAGUGUCUGUGCCCGGAUGGCUAUUCUGGCGACUUCUGUCAAAUAGAAACAUUCCGUCCCUUCAGUCUGAAUGUCACCAUUGGACCAAACUACAAUCCAGUUGUCGGAGGUGAAGUUUCCUUUCUCUGUGAGGCAGUCGGGACCCACGCCCUUGAGAACCCGACCUGGUUCAACCAGUACGGUGUGGCCAUUGGGGAACAGGAUGAAGUGUUCGGCCGUGUGUAUACCACCAAUGUAUCCAGUUUUGCUCAGAGAAUUACCAUCAACGACAUUAAUGAGAUAGAUGCUGGAAUCUACACAUGCGAAGCCGGCCCUAGAAGAACCAGCAUUGUGCUGUCUGUUUACGUUCCGGAGUGUCUCCAGGAAUGCCAGAAUGGAGGGACCUGUGUGGAAGGGGUGUGCGCAUGCCCUGACGGAAUUGUUGGACAGUUCUGUGAAUACUCUCUGGACUUGGAUUUCCGCAUCUAUCUCAGGCCAAGCACUCCCGAGAGUCCCAAAGUUGGUGGCAGCUACAGCGUGGAGUGUGACAUUGUGGGACCAGUGAGAAUCGGUACCCCGGAAUGGACCACGCCCGAGGGGCAGCCAAUCAGAGGACUCGGGCUGGGAGGCACAGGGCACAAAUAUGCUGAUUACGUGAACCCAAGAACGACCUCCGUCAUUAUCAACCGCAUCAUUGAGGCAGAUGUAGGACCAUACAAGUGCACAGUGGGACCAAUCAGCGCGGAGUUUAACAUCACACUAGCGCUCUCUUGCGACAAAGAUUGUGUGAAUGGUGGAGUUUGCAAGGAGGGCAUCUGUGACUGCCCAGAACCAUUCACUGGAGAUUAUUGCGAUGGAAUAGAAGAGGGAUGCAACGUACUGCGUGUCUGCUACAACGGUGGUACCUGCAACAAUAAAGAGUGUGUCUGCACUCCGGACUACCAAGGAGACUUCUGCCAAUACUCUAUUGAUGACGAGACAUCACUGCGGAUCGAGCUUGGCCGUGGGGACAUUCCGGACGCUGGUGAGAACAUCACAGUCAUGUGCAUCACCAGCGGCCCCGAUGCCCCCAUCAACCCUGAGUGGGUGAUGAGAACAGGGGAGGUCAUCUUGUCACUUGAAGAAGGUGGCAACUUGCAUCGUCAUGUCCGUCGGCUUUCACCAAACGAGGUCCAACUGGUCCUGAUUGACCUGGUCUUUGAGGACAUUGACACCUACUCCUGCCGCGCUGGACCCCUCAGGAAGUCAGUCUCCUUGGUUGUGAGAACCCCACCGUGUGUUCCUGAGUGUCUCAAUGGAUUCUGCCUGAACACUGAAUGCAUUUGCCUGGAUGGUUUCACUGGCCCAGCUUGCGAAAUCCAAAUUUCAGAGUGCGACCCACCGUGCCUGAACGGAGGCCAGUGUGAGAACAGAGUGUGCCUGUGCCAACGCGGAUUCUUUGGUGACUUCUGCGAGAACAUUCAAGAACUUCCAGUUAUGAUAACGAUCAAGCCAGAACAGGACCAGAUAACCUAUGUUGGUGAGAAUUCAGCAUUCCUGUGUUACACGGAAGGUAAUGGUGCCCCAUCAGAUCUAGUGUGGAGAGAUCCCAGUGGGCAGAUCAUACAGCCAGGAGUACCAGGUGGGGUUUCUCGAGUCUUUGUGGAGUUGAUCAAUGAGACAUCAAGCCGACUGGUCAUUAACUUCCUUUCUGAGGAAGAUGCAGGGCUUUAUUACUGCGCUGCUGGGCCUCUCAACAGCUCCAUUAUCAUAACUCUGUACGAGCAUCCCUGUCCACUGAUGUGCGCCAACGAGGGAACAUGCAUCCAGGGUCGAUGCCGAUGCCCACAGGAAUUCACUGGAAAAUACUGCGAGAUCAGAGUGAGUCGGACGGGUUCCAUUGCCAUUGUGCCCAACAUCAAGCACAACCCUAUGGUGGGUGAGAAUCUGGAGUUCCUGUGUCGCACAGCGGGGCGAAUCCCAUCCAGGAACCCGGUGUGGCGAUUCCCCGAUGGUAGAGUUGUACGGUCUGUCGAUAAAGGAACAACCAAUGAUCGAGUGUACGCCGAGCGUAACCCGCCUUACCAGAACACCCUAUUCAUUCAUAAUUUCACCGAGGCUGAUGUUGGGACGUACCAAUGUCGGGCUGGACCUCUCACUACGUCAUUCACCCUUGUACUAGCUGAGCGUAUCUGCGACCCACCUUGCUUCAACGGUGGCACCUGCGAGAAAUCCCAGUGCGUCUGCACAGCAGGGUUCACCGGAAACUACUGCCAGAUCAAAGAUUGUCAGCCACCUUGCCUAAAUGGCGGCGAGUGCGUGAACGACGUUUGUAAGUGCCCACCGGGCUGGACAGGGCAGGAUUGCGGACGGGAAGAAGAGGUGGUCCUACAGAUCUCCCAAACCACUGAAUUUGAUCCAACCAUUGGCAGCACCGUCAUGUAUGUGUGUUAUACUAAUGAGAGCAGCGUCACUGAACCGCCUGUGUGGGUCUAUCCUGACGGAAGAGAGAUACUUGUAGGAGAUCCAGGUGAUGGGACUCGUAUCUUUGCUAAUAACAUUUCCCCUGCUGCCAGCGAACUGAUAAUCACCAGCCUACAAGAGGAAGAUAUCGGAACCUACUCCUGCUCAGCUGGACCCCUGAUUGCUUCUGUCAUCAUCACAAUGAAUCCCACUGAUAACUCCUGCAAUGGCGAGUGUUUGAAUGGAGGAGUCUGUAACGAAGGGACCUGUUUCUGUCCACCAGCCUAUACUGGAGAAUUCUGCCAACUUAUUGAUCUGGAGUGUCGCUACCCAUGUGAAAAUGGAGGUUCCUGCAUCAGUGGCAUAUGUGUGUGCAUGGCGGAGUUUGAAGGGGUUUCAUGUGAAAUAAAGAAGCGUGGUUGUCCGGAAGAGUGUCAGAACGGUGGAAUCUGUCUGAAUGGACUGUGCCGCUGUCCGCCAGGGUAUACCGGAGAUUUCUGCGAAAGCCGACCCAUCCAGUGUGAGCCCCCUUGCAUGAAUGGUGGCGUCUGUGUCCGCGGACAGUGUUAUUGUGCUGAUGGCUUUGAAGGCAACUCGUGUGAAUUGAUAGUUGGUUCGUCACCUCAGAUUGUCAUCAAUCCUUUCUCGGGCCAAGUCUUGGCUCUCGGGGAAGACGUCAAUUUCCUAUGCCGGCUGCGCAGCAUGGAGCUGGAACCAGGAACCCUACCGGUCUGGGUUGGACCGGAUGGAGCCGCCAUUGGCAAAAUUGGUUUUGGGGGAGAUUUGCACAAGUACGUUGAGGUGCUGUCAGAGUCUGUGGUCAAUCUGAUCAUCAAUGACUUUACCAUGGAGGAUUCAGGGAACUACACCUGCAUUGCUGGACCUUUGUCAAGAAUGGUGUACCUCAUAUCACUACCUGAAGACUGCCAGGGCAUGUGUCUGAAUGGAGGCGUCUGUGAUAACGGAAUCUGUGACUGUCCUGAAGGAUUUGAAGGGGAGUACUGCGAAUUCACACUGGGUAUUGGGUUGUGCAACCCAGCUUGCGAGAAUGGAGCGACAUGUGAGCAAGGCGUAUGUCUCUGUGCCCUUGGGUUCACAGGGGAUACCUGCGGUACAGAAAUGAGCUGUAAUCCAGGCUGUGAGAACAACGCUAUCUGCCAGCGUGGUAUCUGCAUGUGCCCAGUGGGUUUCACUGGACCCUCCUGCACAGAAGACAUCAACGAGUGUGCUAUCAAUCCCCUCAUCUGUCCAUUCUAUGGCUGUAUUAACACCAUCGGCAGUUACAAGUGUGCCUGCCCACCAGGAUAUGAGUUUGGCCCUGAUGACUUGUGCCAAGAUAUCAAUGAGUGUGACUUGGACCAUUCCUGCAGCCAUCGAUGCAUUAACACUAUUGGCUCCUACCUGUGUGCAUGUCACGAAGGAUUCAUCGUCGAUUCGGACGGCAAGACCUGCAUUGGACCAGCAGGCUGCCUCUACCAGAACAUCCUAUACCCAGCCGGCACAAGUUGGACCAUAGAUGGCUGCUCACAGUGCACCUGUGAUAUGGGUGUCACUCAGUGCACAGAAUGCCCACCACAAGAUACUGAGGACUGCAUGUACAAGGGCAUCUUGUACCGUCACCUCACCAAUUGGACGUCACUUUUCAAUGCCUGUGAGCACUGCUCGUGCAAUAACAGUGACGUGCAGUGUGUGGAGGAGAUGUGUGAUGAGCUGUGUACAAACCCUGUGCCCAGGGCUGGCGUGUGCUGCCAUGAGUGUACAGAUUGUCUGAGCGAAGGCACUCUGAUCCGGAAUAAUCAGUACUUCACUCCAUCCAGCAACAAUUGUACAGUCUGCAGGUGUGAGAAUGGCAACGUAAAAUGUUCCAACUUGACAUGUCCAGAGAUCACAUGCAAUAAGCCAACAGAAGGACCGUGCUGCCUCACUUGCGAAGAUACAUGCGUGUAUGAGGGUAACGAGUAUGGUCACGGCGAGACCUUUAUCCCAGAGACUCCCAAAUGCAGUGUCUGCACUUGCCUGAGAGGUGCAGUGGAGUGUCAGUACAAGAGCUGUCCUGAGCUGGACUGCCCGGCUGCUUCUCAAGUACGCAUUAAGGGCCAGUGCUGCAGCACCUGUGUGGAGAUGCUUCCAGGCUGCGUGGACAAUCACCGGGAGUUCCAUCGGACUGGUGACCAGUGGCAGGACCCUAUGGAUCUCUGCCAGACUUGCAGCUGCUUUGAGAGAGGGAGAAUACAGUGCUUCCGCACUGAGUGCAACACGCAGUGCCAAAAUCCAGUAGCCAUAGCAGGACAGUGUUGCCCUGAUUGUAACGGUUGUAUUUACAAUGGGAAAGGUCGUAGAAAUGGGGGAUCGUUCACGUCGCAAAACUGUGACCAGUGUGUCUGCAUAUAUGGUGAUGUGGUGUGUGAGCCGGCUAGCUGCAACACAGAAUGUUACUACCCAAACCAACCCCCUGGAGAGUGCUGUCCUGUAUGUGAAGAUUGCUUCUUUUUGGGCCAAGUUAUCAAAGAUGGCGAGACGGUCCACCCUGCGCUAGCACCUUGCAGGACCUGCAAUUGCAAGAAAGGAAACGUUCGGUGUACACAUGCGGAGCAGUGUCCUGCAUUAGACUGCUCAGUUACAACAACAGUAGCUGGUGAAUGUUGCCCCAGAUGUGCUGAUGGAUUUUGUCGACUUUCUGGAGGCCAGACUUAUGAAAGCGGAGAGAGUUGGUUUGACCAGGACGAUCCCUGCACAGAAUGCACAUGCUUUGAUCAAGCGGUUCGCUGUUUGCCACUUCCUUGCCCAGACUCUAGCGCCUGCACUCACGGUCUGAUCCUUGAUGGCGAAUGCUGCGCCGAUUGCAACGUCUGCAUGUACCGGGAUAUCAUGUACAACAAUGAGGAAGUGUUUACGCCAGAAAACAGUCCGUGUGAUACGUGUAACUGUACGGAUGGCAAUGUGAACUGUGUGAGUCGAGAAUGUCCACGCUUAGCAUGUCAGCGCACUGUGGAGGUCCCCGGCCUGUGUUGCCCUGUGUGUGAUGUCUGCAUAGAUCCUGUUGAUAACACAGAAUACUCCCACGGCCAAAGUUGGGUUGAUGAAAACAAUCCUUGCAGAACUUGUAUGUGUGUGGACGGAGAGAUAAGAUGCAAUAAUGUGACGUGCCUAUCAGAAUGUGAGAAUCCAACUCAUGUGGAGGGACAGUGCUGUCCAAUAUGCCAAGGAUGUGAUGUUAACAAUCAGACACUGGCUGUUGGGAUACCUGUCAAACCCGAUGACAGCCAGUGCAUGGAGUGCGUGUGUGACAAUGACAACAUGCUGCAGUGCUUCCCAAUCCUCUGCCCCAAGCUCAACUGUAAACCAGAGCAAGUGGCUGUCACUGAAGGCUCCUGCUGUCCAUCAUGUCUAGCUGAGGUUCGAACCCUGCGCGUUUGUGAGAACGAUGGUAUCCAGUACAGCAACGGGACAACCUUUGACAUUGACCAGUGCACAACUUGUACAUGCAUUGAUGGUAACCUGGACUGUGAUGUAGAGGAAUGCCCUGAGCGGCCCUGCAGCCAGCAUCAGCUAGUCAGGGUGCCAGACGAGUGCUGCCCUCUCUGCCUGGACCAGGACUGCUUGUUUGACAACCGGUUCCUGAUUAACGGAGAGUGGUUCCAACCGGCUGGCGACAAGUGCACCAACUGCACCUGCAAUAAUGGUCAGGUUGAGUGUGCUUUGAAGCCCUGCCCAGCUCUGGACUGUCACCCAGAUGAGCAGCAUAAGGCAGAUGGCGACUGCUGCCCUCAGUGCACAGGCGGUGUGUGUCUGUAUAAUGGUGAGAGGUACACCAGUAACACGGCAUGGAAGAGUGGUUGUGACAUCUGCGUUUGCAUCAACGGAAACGCUGUCUGCAACCAGGAAGAGUGCCAGCCAGUCACUUGUGAUGAGGGAGAUGAAAUUGGAAUUCCACCAGGAGCAUGCUGUGAACAGUGCUUACCGAAAAUGGCCUCGUGUAUUGUCUUUGGCGAUCCCCAUUACCGGACGUUCGAUGGCCGAUUCCAUGACUUCCAGGGCACAUGCACCUACACGUUUGUUAAAGACUGUGUCGGGGAGAACUUUGAGGUCAUUGUCCAGAACAAUGGCAAGGAGACGUACUCCGUGUCCUGGACCCAACUCGUGUCGUUCAGACUCUUCAACUGGACCAUUGACCUGCUGCAGGACAUGAAGGUUAAAGUGGAUGGCACCUUCGUGGAGCUACCAUACCUCCACGAGCCAGAAUUCAGCAUCCAGAAACUUGGAUUGCUAGUGGUUGUCCAUACCAACUUGGGUAUUACUGUGUCCUUCGACGGUGAACACUUUGGUGAAGUGGUAGCCGAUCAUCUCUGGAAGGGGCAGCUGUGCGGACUGUGUGGAGACUAUGACGGCAAUCCGGACAACGAUUUCAGAAGUCGAAAUGGUACUUACACGACGACAGCCUCAGAGUUUGGGAACACAUUUAUCUGUGGCGAUUACCCAGAGUGUUCCUGUAGAGAAAGCCAAGAGCUGGAUCCAUGUGCUAAAGAUGAGAGCUACCUGGUGGAGGCAGUAGAGAGAUGUGAAAUCCUGAGGAGUGAUGUCUUCUCGCCGGCCCAUCGUUUGAUCGACCCUCAGCCUUUCUAUGAUGCCUGCCUGUACGACUGGUGCGCGUGCCCUGUGCAGGAUAAAUGUCUGUGUGAUGUACUCUCAGCAUACUCGCAUGAGGCUAGAAAGAAAGGCAUUACAUUAGACUGGCAGAGAGAAAAUUACUGUGCCAUUUCCUGUCCCACGGGGGCCUACUAUGACGAGUGCACCCCACCCUGCGAGGUCACCUGUGAGACCCUCAACUCCCCAGACCUGACAGAGUGCAGCUUACAAGACUGUGUUCCAGGCUGCAAGUGCCCUGCCGGCAUGGUACUUCACAAUUUCCAGUGUAUAGAUAUAAGUGCCUGUCCCUAGUAUCAACAGGGACAACUAUCCUUUAAUUAGCCCAUCAAGAAAUUAAACAGGUUCUCAUAGCAUUACCUCUAUAUUUUGUAGUCGUGAUUGAUUUUUCUCAAGUACAUGUUUAACCAUUCUGGAUUGUAAGUGUUGUGUUAAUUAAUUUGAAAAUUUGAAUGGCACAUCAUAAUGUACAAGUAUCAGUGACUAUCUAAAGUAUACAUUUUACUACUUUUCAGUAUCAAAGUUUAGCACUAAUAGUAAAACAUUAGGAGUAGCCAGUCUCAAUUUGGAGGUAUUCAAAUAUUGUGUUUUUCACACUGAAUAGCAACUAGGAUCUGCAAGGUAAUAUUUCUUAUUAUUGGCCCAGUGGUAUAAUGUUUUCUGCACCCUGCAUAUCAGUAGGAUCUGCAAGGUGAUUUGGUGAUUUGCCUUUGGAUUUUAUGAAGAAACGUGUCUGGGACAUGGUAUUGUAUACUUUGUAUACACUGUUUCAAGUCGAAGCUGAUGAAAUAUAAGUGGGAUACUUUAGAUAUUAUUCAACGAUACCUGACUAUUUGAGGUAUACAUGUAUUUAUGGAAGGAAAUGCCGGCUGGGAUAUGUUACUCCAACAUAGUUAAUGUGAAUUACUAUAAACAAUCCUUAAAUGUCAUGGACAACCUAGAAUAUUAGUUGGCAUCUAGAUAAUAAUUGGUGCUGUGAGGUAUAUUUAAAGUACAACAGCUGUGCAUUACAGAAGUGGAGGUCCUCCUUUUGUUUUGUUUAAAUUCAAGUAUUAAUUGAAGUAGUUUUAGUGUCAAUAUCAAAAACAGGUUUUCUAAAUCUGUUGUGACUGCUGAUAUAAAAGAUGCUAAAUCGUUAUAUUAUGUUGAUACCAGAUUACCAUACUUGAUAUCUGAAGCACCUGGGACCUGGACAUAUGUACAUAUUUAUAAAAAAAAAAUAUAAAAAAAAAUUGGACACACCAAACCAUUGGGCAUGGCUUUGCACCAAAUUAGACUUGUUACCAUUAUUUUUAAUUCAUGUUUUUAAACUGUACAUGUAAGACUGUUUUUAUCAUUUAAGUACAUGUCAUGCAACUUUUGUGAAUAAACAAAAAUGAAACUGUAUCACUCUAUCCCUACACACUGCGUACAACCUUCAAAGUAACAGGAAUAUAAAAUAACUUCUUGUUUGUAACAUUUUCCCAUGCAUUUUUUUACAUAUUUUUUUUUAACAGUAGCCAUGUCAGUGUAGUGAUUUUGUACGUACAUGUAGUGUGUGUUGUGCUAUUACAUAACCCUACAAAUGGCUACAUGAGAUAUAGUGGUGUACCACUUCAGUAUUUAAAGAAAGUAGACAUAGAAAUACUCCAGGUUCUUAGAGUUUUGCUAAGCGAGUUUGUAACAGAAUUUGUCCCAUACGUGUACAACUGCCUUCCAACUUAUGGUGCUGCAUAUAAACUUUUAAAGCAAAAGACUAUAUACACGUAAAGUAUUUAAUUGUAUUGUAUCUGUGAGCAUUUAAUAUCAAAAAAGGCUAUAUUUUGUUAAGUGAAACAUUUUUUAUGGUAAUAUUUCAUAUUUUUGUCACAUGUUUAGCACUGCGAUUUGCAGAUCAUGUAGGAUAUUGCUAGUUAAAUAUGGUGCUUCCAAUAAAUUUCUAUACAUGUACAUGUCUGUAAUAAGUUUAGUUUUUUAAAAAGUGCACAUUAAAGGCGUCAUCGUGUCUUCACAAAG
rnacentral:misc_RNA from 1 species